rnacentral:rRNA from 1 species
UACGUAGGGGGCAAGCGUUGUCCGGAUUUAUUGGGCGUAAAAGGCUUGUAGGUGGCCACGCCAAGUCGGAUGUGAAAUCUCCCGGCUCAACUGGGAGGGGUCAUUCGAUACUGGCGGGCUCGAGGCCGGUAGGGGGAAGUGGAAUUCCCGGUGUAGUGGUGGAAUGCGUAGAUAUCGGGAGGAACACCGGUGGCGAAGGCGGAUCUCUGGGCCAUUACUGACGCUGAGGAGCGAAAGCGUGGGGAGCGAACAGG